CUGUUGCAGGGCUCCAGGGAUAAGAGCUCCCUGCUACUGCGGUUGCACCAAUACUUACGCUCUGGCCAAAGCAGAUGAUCUGAUUGCCGGCCACAUUUGCAUUGGGUAGCGGGUUGACCGUAACAACAACGGAAUUGACAUUCACACAACCAUUGCUGUUGGUUUCAGUUACCGUAUAGUUUGUUGUAGAAGCUGGUGUAGCCGUCGGAUUGGAGACCGAUAGCGCACAAGUA
rnacentral:rRNA from 1 species